GGAGAGGUGACCGAGAGGCCGAAGGUGCUCGCCUGCUAAGUGAGUGUAUGCUGAAAGGUGUACCGUGGGUUCGAAUCCCACCCUCUCCGCCA
rnacentral:tRNA from 2 species